rnacentral:rRNA from 1 species
AACGAACGCUGGCGGCGUGCCUAACACAUGCAAGUCGAACGCGAACGGGUCUUCGGACCCUAGUAGAGUGGCGCACGGGUGAGUAACACGUGGGCAAUCUACCCAGGGAUUUGGGAUAACCAGGGGAAACCCUGGCUAAAUACCGAAUACGUCCAUGAGGCCUUCGGUCCUCAUGGAGAAAGGUGGCCUCUUCUCGAAAGCUGCCGUUCCUGGAUGAGCCCGCGGACCAUUAGCUUGUUGGUGAGGUAACGGCUCACCAAGGCCAUGAUGGUUAGCUGGUCUGAGAGGAUGAUCAGCCACACUGGGACUGACACACGGCCCAGACUCCUACGGGAGGCAGCAGUGGGGAAUCUUGCGCAAUGGGGGAAACCCUGACGCAGCAACGCCGCGUGGUGAUGAAGGCCCUUGGGUCGUAAAGCCCUGUCUGGAGGAAAGAAUCCCGNUCUCGCUAAUACCGGGAGUGGAUGACGGUACCUCUGAAGGAAGCACCGGCUAACUCCGUGCCAG